UUGCACCUACCGAUUGAAUGGUCCGGUGAAGCCUCGGGAUUGUGAUGAGUUUCCUUCAUUGGGAGUUCGUCGUGAGAACCUGUCUAAACCUUAUCAUUUAGAGGAAGGUG
rnacentral:rRNA from 1 species